UGGGUGAUCUGCCCUGCACUUUGGGAUAAGCCUGGGAAACUGGGUCUAAUACCGAAUACACCCUGCUGGUCGCAUGGCCUGGUGGGGGAAAGCUUUUGCGGUGUGGGAUGGGCCCGCGGCCUAUCAGCUUGUUGGUGGGGUGAUGGCCUACCAAGGCGACGACGGGUAGCCGGCCUGAGAGGGUGUCCGGCCACACUGGGACUGAGACACGGCCCAGACUCCUACGGGAGGCA
rnacentral:rRNA from 1 species